UAGUCCUAGCCGUAAACGGUGCACACUUGCUGUAGGAGGAUUCGACCCCUUCUGUGGCGGAGCAAACGCGUUAAGUGUGCCGCCUGGGGAGUACGGUCGCAAGAUUAAAACUCAAAGAGAUUGACGGGGGCCUGCACAAGCGGUGGAGUAUGUGGCUUAAUUCGAUGCAACGCGAAGAACCUUACCUGGCCUUGACAUGCAUCUCUAAGCGUGUGAAAGCACGUGACCCUUCGGGGAAUUUGCACAGGUGCUGCAUGGCUGUCGUCAGCUCGUGUCGUGAGAUGUUGGGUUAAGUCCCGCAACGAGCGCAACCCUUGUGUCCUGUUGCCACUUCCGCUAGCGCGGAAAGCACUCUGGACAGACUGCCUCGUCUCAACGAGGAGGGAAGGUGGGGGAUGGACGUCAAGUCAGUAUGGGCCCUUACGGGCCAGGGGCU
rnacentral:rRNA from 1 species